GAAUAUUGCGCAAUGGGCGAAAGCCUGACGCAGCGACGCCGCGUGGGGGAUGAAGGUCUUCGGAUUGUAAACCCCUUUCGGGAGGGAAAAUGGAACGAGCAAUCGUUCGGAUGGUACCUCCCGAAGCAGCCACGGCUAACUUCGUCCCAGCCGCCGCGGUAAUACGAAGGUGGCAAGCGUUGUUCGGAUUUACUGGGCGUAAAGGGAGCGUAGGCGGUUUGGUAAGCCCCUCGGGAAAUCUUCGGGCUCAACCCGGAAAGGUCGGGGGGGACUGCCAGGCUAGAGGAUGGGAGAGGAGCGCGGAAUUCCCGGUGUAGCGGUGAAAUGCGUAGAGAUCGGGAGGAAGGCCGGAGGCGAAGGCGGCGCUCUGGAACAUAUCUGACGCUGAGGCUCGAAAGCGUGGGGAGCAAACAGG
rnacentral:rRNA from 1 species